GGACGAAGUAGCAAUACUUAGUGGCAGACGGGUGAGUAACAUGUAGGUAUCUGCCCUUUGGCCUGGAAUAACACGAGGAAACUUGUGCUAAUACCGGAUAAGUCUUUACGGAGAAAGCUUUAUGCACCAUUGGAUGAGCCUGCACUUGAUUAGUUUGUUGGUGGGGUAAUGGCCUACCAAGACUGUGAUCAAUAGCUGAUUUGAGAGGAUGAUCAGCCACAUUGGGACUGAGACACGGCCCAAACUCCUACGGGAGGCAGCAGUGGGGAAUCUUGCACAAUGGAGGAAACUCUGAUGCAGCGAUGCCGCGUGAGUGAAGAAGGCCCUUGGGUUGUAAAGCUCUUUCGUCGGGGAAGAAAAUGACUGUACCCGAAUAAGAAGGUCCGGCUAACUUCGUGCCAGCAGCCGCGGUAAUACGAAGGGACCUAGCGUAGUUCGGAAUUACUGGGCUUAAAGAGUUCGUAGGUGGUUGAAAAAGUUAGUGGUGAAAUCCCAGAGCUUAACUCUGGAACUGCCAUUAAAACUUUUCAGCUAGAGUAUGAUAGAGGAAAGCAGAAUUUCUAGUGUAGAGGUGAAAUUCGUAGAUAUUAGAAAGAAUACCAAUUGCGAAGGCAGCUUUCUGGAUCAUUACUGACACUGAGGAACGAAAGCAUGGGUAGCGAAGAGGAUUAGAUACCCUCGUAGUCCAUGCCGUAAACGAUGUGUGUUAGACGUUGGAAAUUUAUUUUCAGUGUCGCAGGGAAACCGAUAAACACACCGCCUGGGGAGUACGACCGCAAGGUUAAAACUCAAAUGAAUUGACGGGGACCCGCACAAGUAGUGGAGCAUGUGG
rnacentral:rRNA from 1 species